AUGUAUGGAGCAGUUUCAGCAGGAAUGUUACAUGCUCUUACCACCCUGUCUCAGCAACUGGAGAAUGAAAAUGCAGUGGAUGUUUUCCAGGUUGCCAAGAUGAUCAAUCUUAUGAGACCUGGAGUCUUCACAGACAUUGUAAGGAGUUUGCUUCUAUUUAAAACCCGGGUUUUCAUACAUUGUAGCACAGGGCUUCUCAACGAAGGGGGAUUUGUCCCCCUGGAGACAUCUGGCAAUGUCUGGAGACUGUGUCACCUCUGCAGAUAGCAAGAGGAAUUCUAGCAUUUAGCGAGUAGGGGCCAGGGAUGCUGCUAAAUAUCCAAGAUGGCUCUUGACAACACAAAAUUAUCUGGCCUAAAAUGUCAGUGGUGCAACUGAAAAAUUCUGCAUUAAAGUCUAGAGUUCUCUGGUUAUAACAUAUAGACAUUCCAUUAUCUCAGUGGACUAUCAACAAUGAGAACUGUUUCCACGUUAACAGAGAUCAAAUGGAUACAAAGAAGGUAGAGAUCAUAAUUACAGAAGAUUAAGUGAUUUUUUUAGUUUUUUAGUGAAAGGGAGCCAAAACAGAAGCACCCGAGGCAAGGCUUUAUUGGGGGAAAGAGCUGCUGGGCCGUCUGGAAUAAUGGUGAGAGCAGCAGCCACGGGCUGGCUGGGUGAGGUUCAUAAGGGCUGAGAGAGUGUCAUGGAAGUAGAUGAUUGGCUACGACUGGGGGCAAGGUUUAAAUUUAUUGGUGGCUGAACCUUUAGGUGGAAAGGACCAAUGGCCAGAGAAAUUGGGGGUAGGGGGAGUACUCUCUGGAGUGACUCAUUUCCUAUAGGCAAGGAGCCAUUUUAG
rnacentral:lncRNA from 1 species